GCGGCUAUCGUAUAGUGGUAUUACCCAAGCUUCCCAAGCUUGUGAGACGGGUUCGAUUCCCGUUAGCCGCUCCA
rnacentral:tRNA from 1 species